GGUCCAAAUGGCUCUUUGGGUCUUAAAGGUUGCUGACCCCUGGCCUAGGCACUACAGUUCACACUAGUGAUGGCCCGCUUGAAGCUGACACUCCGGCACGUGUGUCAAAAGAAACCAACACGCUGCUUCAGAAGCACUGUGUGGAGGCUUGAUUCGUUUGGCCAGAGUCACAUGAUCAGUGACGUCCGAAGCUUCAUUUGGAAUGUAACUGCUUUGGUACCUGAGUCAAUCAUUUAUAAGUAAGUGAAUAAUCAUUUGUGGCAUUUGUGGAGUGUUUGAUGGUGAGAGAUAGCAAACCACUGAUCAUUCUAUUGAGUGAUAUGGAGCCAGUGAGGAAGAGAGGAGUUUCUGUCAUGUGGGAGUAUUUUGAGUUGAUUUUGGUCAAUCAGGUGAUAGUUUGUGGGACCCAGGAAGACCGGAUACCUGCAUGUCUACCAACUUGCAUUGCAGUUUCUGUGCAAUGCCACCUCUUCUGUUCCGUGUGAGAGGAUUUUCUCUAAGGCAGGAGAAAUUAUCUCCAAGAAAACAGACUCGGCCAUCGCACAGUGGAACAAAUUCUCUUCUUAAAUAAAAACCAAACAGGAUAA